UGAACUCUUAUGAUCGUGGAGGAAGCAGAUGGACUGCUUUCUGUGUGAGAGAUCUAGUCAAACAUGACACUCCCUCAACGCAGACACGUGCUUUGAGCCUAGGUAACAUAAAAACUGUUUAGACACGUCCCACUGGGGGAGGGUGAGAUGACAUGCACACACUUUGAUAACUCAGAAGCUAGAUGACUGGCUGCUGGUGUGUUCAGGUAGGGAUCAGUCUCUGCUAAUGUUCAGCUGGCUUCUUUCCUAGAGCCUCAGCUCGCUCCGUCUUCCAGCCUUACAUCACUUGAAGCUCCUCAGAUGUUUGAGGCCACAUCCUUUCAUCUGUUGUUUCUGUGU
ensembl:lncRNA